rnacentral:rRNA from 1 species
UACAGGCUUAACACAUGCAAGUCGAGGGGCAGCAUUUUAGUUUGCUUGCAAACUAAAGAUGGCGACCGGCGCACGGGUGAGUAACACGUAUCCAACCUGCCGAUAACUCGGGGAUAGCCUUUCGAAAGAAAGAUUAAUAUCCGAUAGUAUAUUAAAACCGCAUGGUUUUACUAUUAAAGAAUUUCGGUUAUCGAUGGGGAUGCGUUCCAUUAGUUUGUUGGCGGGGUAACGGCCCACCAAGACUACGAUGGAUAGGGGUUCUGAGAGGAAGGUCCCCCACAUUGGAACUGAGACACGGUCCAAACUCCUACGGGAGGCAGCAGUGAGGAAUAUUGGUCAAUGGACGAGAGUCUGAACCAGCCAAGUAGCGUGAAGGAUGACUGCCCUAUGGGUUGUAAACUUCUUUUAUAUGGGAAUAAAGUAUUCCACGUGUGGAAUUUUGUAUGUACCAUAUGAAUAAGGAUCGGCUAACUCCGUGCCAGCAGCCGCGGUAAUACGGAGGAUCCGAGCGUUAUCCGGAUUUAUUGGGUUUAAAGGGAGCGUAGGUGGAUUGUUAAGUCAGUUGUGAAAGUUUGCGGCUCAACCGUAAAAUUGCAGUUGAAACUGGCAGUCUUGAGUACAGUAGAGGUGGGCGGAAUUCGUGGUGUAGCGGUGAAAUGCUUAGAUAUCACGAAGAACUCCGAUUGCGAAGGCAGCUCACUAGACUGCAACUGACACUGAUGCUCGAAAGUGUGGGUAUCAAACAGGAUUAGAUACCCUGGUAGUCCACACAGUAAACGAUGAAUACUCGCUGUUUGCGAUGUACAGUAAGCGGCCAAGCGAAAGCAUUAAGUAUUCCACCUGGGGAGUACGCCGGCAACGGUGAAACUCAAAGGAAUUGACGGGGGCCCGCACAAGCGGAGGAACAUGUGGUUUAAUUCGAUGAUACGCGAGGAACCUUACCCGGGCUUAAAUUGCAUUUGAAUAAUCUGGAAACAGGUUAGCCGCAAGGCAAAUGUGAAGGUGCUGCAUGGUUGUCGUCAGCUCGUGCCGUGAGGUGUCGGCUUAAGUGCCAUAACGAGCGCAACCCUUAUCUUUAGUUACUAACAGGUCAUGCUGAGGACUCUAGAGAGACUGCCGUCGUAAGAUGUGAGGAAGGUGGGGAUGACGUCAAAUCAGCACGGCCCUUACGUCCGGGGCUACACACGUGUUACAAUGGGGGUACAGAAGGCAGCUACCUGGCGACAGGAUGCUAAUCCCAAAAACCUCUCUCAGUUCGGAUCGAAGUCUGCAACCCGACUUCGUGAAGCUGGAUUCGCUAGUAAUCGCGCAUCAGCCAUGGCGCGGUGAAUACGUUCCCGGGCCUUGUACACACCGCCCGUCAAGCCAUGAAAGCCGGGGGUACCUGAAGUACGUAACCGCAAGGAGCGUCCUAGGGUAAAACUGGUAAUUGGGGCUAAGUCAUAAC